CCAUGCCGAACACGGAAGUUAAGCUCUUUAGCGCCGAUGGUAGUUGGGGGCUUCCCCCUGUGAGAGUAGGACGUUGCUAGGC
rnacentral:rRNA from 1 species